rnacentral:misc_RNA from 1 species
UGUGCCCAUCUUAGGUUAAUCUGCA